CCCGCCUUAGCUCAGUUGGUAGAGCGCGAGACUGUAAUAGGAAAAUAGUCUUCAUCUUGAGGUCGCCUGUUCGACCCAGGCAGGCGGGA